rnacentral:rRNA from 1 species
AUUGAACGCUGGCGGCAGGCCUAACACAUGCAAGUCGAACGAGUGGCGGACGGGUGAGUAAUGUCUGGGCAACUGCCAGAUGGAGGGGGAUAACGACUGGAAACGGUAGCUAAUACGGCAUACAACUGGCGGUGCCCAGGUGGGAGUAGCUAGUAGGUGGGGUAACGGCUCACAUAGGCGACGAUCCCGAGCUGGUCUGAGAGGAUGACCAGCCACACUGGAACGGAGACACGGUCCAGCCCCCCACGGGAGGCAGCAGGUGGGAAUAUUGCACAAUGGGCGCAAGCCUGAUGCAGCCAUGCCGCGUGUAGGAAGAAGGCCUUCGGGUUGUAAAGUACUUUCAGCGAGGAGGCGUUACGCGCAGAAGAAGCACCGGCUAACUCCGUGCCAGCAGCCGCGGUAAUAC